rnacentral:rRNA from 1 species
GAUGAACGCUAGCGAUAGGCCUAACACAUGCAAGUCGCGGGGCAGCACGGGAGUAGCAAUACAACUGGUGGCGACCGGCGCACGGGUGAGUAACGCGUAUGUAAUCUACCUACAACAGGGGGAUAACCCGGAGAAAUCCGGACUAAUACCGCAUACAACAGGGGUCCCGCCUGGGCCUAUUUGUUAAAGAUUUAUCGGUUGUAGAUGAGCAUGCGUUCCAUUAGAUAGUUGGUAAGGUAACGGCUUACCAAGCCAGCGAUGGAUAGGGGAACUGAGAGGUUACCCCCCCACACCGAGACUGAGACACGAAGCAAACUGCUACGGGAGGCAGCAGUGAGGAAUAUUGGUCAAUGGACGAGAGCCUGAACCAGCCAAAUCGCGUGAAGGAAGACUGCCUUAUGGGUUGUAAACUUCUUUUACAGGGGAAUAAAAAGACAUACGAGUAUGUCAUUGCAUGUACCCUGUGAAUCAGCAUCGGCUAACUCCGUGCCAGCCGCCGCCGUAA